GACGAACGCUGGCGGCGUGCUUAACACAUGCCAGUCGAACGAUGACGACCGAGCUUGCUCGGUCUGAUUAGUGGCGAACGGGUGAGUAACACGUGAGCAACCUGCCCUUCACUCUGGGAUAACCUCGGGAAAUCGGGGCUAAUACCGGAUAUGAGCUCCUGUCGCAUGGCGGGUGUUGGAAAGUUUUUCGGUGAAGGAUGGGCUCGCGGCCUAUCAGUUUGUUGGUGAGGUAUUGGCUCACCAAGGCGAUGACGGGUAGCCGGCCUGAGAGGGCGACCGGCCACACUGGGACUGAGACACGGCCCAGACUCCUACGGGAGGCAGCAGUGGGGAAUAUUGCACAAUGGGCGAAAGCCUGAUGCAGCGACGCCGCGUGAGGGAUGACGGCCUUCGGGUUGUAAACCUCUUUCAGCAGGGAAGAAGCGAAAGUGACGGUACCUGCAGAAGAAGCGCCGGCUAACUACGUG
rnacentral:rRNA from 1 species